CCUACGGGAGGCAGCAGUGGGGAAUAUUGCGCAAUGGGCGAAAGCCUGACGCAGCGACGCCGCGUGAGGGAUGAAGGUCUUCGGAUCGUACACCUCUGUCAGCAGGGAAGAACGGUCACUGUGCUAAUCAGCAGUGAAUUGACGGUACCUGCAAAGGAAGCACCGGCUAACUCCGUGCCAGCAGCCGCGGUAAUACGGAGGGUGCGAGCGUUAAUCGGAAUUACUGGGCGUAAAGCGCUCGUAGGCGGUAUGUCAAGUCAAGGGUGAAAUCCCCGCGCUCAACGUGGGAACUGACUUUGAUACUGGCAAACUGGAGUGUGUGAGAGGAUAGUGGAAUGCCAGGUGUAGGAGUGAAAUCCGUAGAGAUCAGGAGGAACAUCAGUGGCGAAGGCGACUAUCUGGCACAUAACUGACGCUGAGGAGCGAAAGCGUGGGUAGCAAACAGGAUUAGAGACCCCUGUAGUC
rnacentral:rRNA from 1 species